GACGAACGCUGGCGGCGUGCUUAACACAUGCAAGUCGAACGGAAAGGCCCUGCUUUUGUGGGGUGCUCGAGUGGCGAACGGGUGAGUAACACGUGAGUAACCUGCCCUUGACUUUGGGAUAACUUCAGGAAACUGGGGCUAAUACCGGAUAGGAGCUCCUGCUGCAUGGUGGGGGUUGGAAAGUUUCGGCGGUUGGGGAUGGACUCGCGGCUUAUCAGCUUGUUGGUGGGGUAGUGGCUUACCAAGGCUUUGACGGGUAGCCGGCCUGAGAGGGUGACCGGCCACAUGGGGAGUGAGAUACGGCCCAGACUCCGACGGGAGGCAGGAGGGGGGAAUAUUGCAAAAGGGGCGGAAGCCGGAUGCAGAAACGCCGGGGGGGGGAAGACGGCCUUCGGGUUGUAAACCGCUUUCGCCUGUGACGACGCGUGAGUGACGGUAAUGGGUAAAGAAGCACCGGCUAACUACGU
rnacentral:rRNA from 1 species